rnacentral:rRNA from 1 species
GACGAACGCUGGCGGCGUGCUUAACACAUACAAGUCGAACGGAAAGGCCCUGCUUUUGUGGGGUGCUCGAGUGGCGAACGGGUGAGUAACACGUGAGUAACCUGCCCUUGACUUUGGGAUAACUUCAGGAAACUGGGGCUAAUACCGGAUAGGAGCUCCUGCUGCAUGGUGGGGGGUGGAAAGUUUCGGCGGUUGGGGAUGGACUCGCGGCUUAUCAGCUUGUUGGUGGGGGAGUGGCUUACCAAGCCUUUGACGGGUAGCCGGCCUGAGAGGGUGGCCAGCGUCAUUGGGACUGCGGUACGGCCCAGUCUCCUACGUGAGGCAGCAGUGGGGAGUAUUGCACAGUGGGCCCGAGCCUGAUGCAGCGACCCCGCGUGCGGGAUGACGGCCUUCGGGUUGUAAACCGCUUUCGCCUGUGACGAAGCGUGAGUGACGGUAAUGGGUAAAGAAGCACCGGCUAACUACGUG